GCGACCCCAGGACGGGCGAGGCCACCCGCCGAGUUUAAGCAUGUCAAUAAGCGGAGGAGAAG
rnacentral:rRNA from 1 species